rnacentral:rRNA from 1 species
UCCCCUACGGGACGCAGCAGUGGGGAAUAUUGCACAAUGGGGGAAACCCUGAUGCAGCAACGCCGCGUGAGUGAGGAAGUAUUUCGGUAUGUAAAGCUCUAUCAGCAGGGAAUAGAAAAGAAGGUACCUGAAAAAGAAGCCCCGGCUAACUACGUGCCAGCAGCCGCGGUAAUACGUAUGGGGCAAGCGUUAUCCGGAUUUACUGGGUGUAAAGGGAGCGCAGGCGGCCUGGCAAGCCUGAUGUGAAAUACCGGGGCCCAACCCCGGGGCUGCAUUGGGAACUGCCAGGCUGGAGUGCCGGAGAG